CAGAUGAGAAGAAUAAUGUCUGGGGUGAAGGUGAAGCACCCAGCCCAAGACUCAGCAGCCAGGAAGUGGCCCAGCGCUCUUUAUACCACGGGUGCAGGAAUUCACACAGAAAAGUGGAGGCCAAGGCGUGAGAAUUCCUCAAUGACUGCCCUCUAAAGGAAGAGGACCAGGCUUCCUGUCAGAGACUGAGGACCCAGGAAGAAACAUGUCUCGGCCCCUGUCCCCCUCCACAAUUCAGAGGCCACAUUCUAACAGGGGAGGCUGACCAAUUAAACAGAUAAUGACACCUCCUAGAGCUAAGAGCUCUCCGACUAUGAACCAGAUGCCUGGAGAACACGGAUGAAUGGUCUGAGCAUGAGCAGGGGUGGGAGGCAGCGUUAAGGGAGGCAUCAGAGUCAGAACCUAGCAAACAAGUGUUUGUGAAGAAGAAUUCAUAGAAAAGGGCAAUGCGGGCAUCACAUGGGCUAAGGAACAGAGGGGUAGCAGUAGCUGUUGUGCCAAGCUGCAGGUGUUAUACACUACCCUCUAGAUCUGGGUUUCCUUAAAACACCUUGAGAGGACAACCCUGCAAAGCACGGCACAGUGGCCGAGAGGGAAAGGAGCAUUCGAGGUCUCAGUCCUCGCUCUGAGCCUACUUCUCUGCUUCUGGGCUCCAGCCAUCUUUGUGGAAAGGGGGCUGCUAGUGACACCCUCUCAAGGGUCUUUCCAGCUCUAGGUCGGCUGUGCUGGAGUCUAGGAUUUGCCCACUGAGAAAUCUGUUUCCAAGUUCCUUCAACCUGAUGCAUCCUGCAGCAUCACGGCAGCUGUUCAGAGUGGUCAGAAGGCCCCUGAAUGAGCUCAGUAGAGGGAAGCCUGGGAACAGGGAGGCACCUGCAGCUCUACUCAUGGCCUGGCCAGAGCUCAGCAGCUCUUCUCUGCCAUCUAGUGGGGAUGGCAUACCAUCACUGGGGACCACCCUGUGCAAACUGGUGAGCCUGAGUGCCUGUCACAGAGGGAAAGAAAGGGGGGGGAUACAGGAUUUAGAUGAAAUAGCAACUCCUACCCUAUUGUCAAAAUCAUCCAGCUUUUUCAAAACAUCAUAUUGUACUGAUUUUUUUGUGUUUUUGACAGAGUCUUGCUGUGUCACCAAGGCUGGAAUGCAGUGGCAUGAUCUCGGCUCACUGUAGCCUCUGUCUCCCUGGUUCAAGCAAUUCUGCCCCAGCCUCCCAAGUAGCUGGGACUACAGGCAUGCGCCACCACACCCAGCUAAGUUUUGUAUUUUUUUAGUAGAGUCAGGGUUUUACUUUGGCCAGGCUGGUCUUAAACUCCUGGCCUCAACUGAUCUGCCUGUCUCGGCCUCCCAAAGAACUGGGAUUACAGGCAUGAGGCACCGUGCCUGUCCCAUGUUGUACUUAAUAGAUAUUUACCAUAUACAAUUAUUUUUUAAUUUAAAUAAAUCAAUGAACAGUGUUAUUUUUUAAAUCUUGUGGCUUUAAUACACCCUUUCAAUUCUCAGGGAGUGUUUUGGUGAUACAGGCUGGGGAGUUAAAUAAAUGAACGAAUAAACUUAGUUGUUAUCCAUUCAAAUAUUUGUUGAGCACCAACCUGUCUAAGGCACUGUGCUAGGCAGUGUGCAGUGUUAUUAAGAUGAGGUACGUGUUUGGUUCCUGGGUGUAAGGAGGUGACAAUCUAGAGGGAAGGUUCUUAAUUUCAUUCUGUGCCCAAAACAACACCUAUUCUGGGGAUUUGUCAUCUUCCUCCCUGCUGGCAUUUCUGGGUGGGGCAGGAGAGGGAAGCUCCCUCCAUGGGGAUGCCUCCUCCCUCCUCUGAAUCUUACAGCUUCCUCCAUCUCCACUUUCCUACACUGGGGACAUCUAAAAAUAUAAUCUUGAUCAUUGUGUAACAAUGUUCAAGUAAUGGCUAGCAUCUGCA
rnacentral:lncRNA from 10 species